GACAGCAGAUGCAGCUAAGCGAGGAGGCGGCUCAAGAAAUAAAAACAAUUAAAGGUGAUCGGGGCCACAGCAGAUUGGAAACCCCAGAGUUCAUCAGUGAACACCCUGCUCCUCCAGGAUCAAGCACAUCUCCUCUCUGGUUAUUUGCCUUGCAUGGAGAACUGCAUGGACCCCUGAACUGGAAGAACUGGGCUGGUGAACAGAGGACAGAUCAGGGCAAGAGUGACUCAUUCCUCAUAUCAAUAGAGCUUAUUGAAAAUUCCAGGGCUACGCACCGAGGUUUGAAGCAUUUGUCAGAAGUAGGAGAGGGAAUGCUAUUUGAAGAAAUCUGUGUGGUGGACUGGUGAAGAUUACUGGCAUGAAUACAG
rnacentral:lncRNA from 12 species